UCAGAGACCUCAUGUUUAGAUUACUUCAAUCGAUUUAGCAUAUUUGGUAUCGAUUUCACUUUAUUGCUGGCAUUAAAAAUUUUACGAGGGUAGAAGCUAAUUAGCGAUAACGAUUGGAAGUGUUAAGAUAGGUUUAACUGGGACCUAGCUUGUGGGAAACAAUUGAUUAUGCUUAUGUUUUAAUAUUUAUUUGUCCUUUUACUGAAGAAUAAUUUGCUUUUGGAAUUCUUCCUCAAGUUUGGAGUGGGUGAGUGAAAUUUUGCAAAGGUGGAUUGGAUUGCAGAUGAUUGGAUUUGUCUUU
rnacentral:misc_RNA from 1 species